ACGGAUUCGAAAUCCGUUGAGUCAGCAAUGGCUCCUAGGGUUCAAAUCCCUAUCUCUCCGCCA
rnacentral:tRNA from 1 species